rnacentral:rRNA from 1 species
CAUGAAGCUGGAAUCGCUAGUAAUCGCGGAUCAGAACGCCGCGGUGAAUGCGUUCCCGGGUCUUGUACACACCGCCCGUCACACCAUGGGAGCCGGAAACGCCCGAAGCCAGCGGCCUAACCGCAAGGAGGGCGCUGUCGAAGGUGGGAUUGAUGACUGGGGUGAAGUCGUAACAAGGUAGC